AUUGAACGCUGGCGGCAGGCCUAACACAUGCAAGUCGAGCGGCGCGCCGGACGGGUGAUUAUUCCUUCGGAAUCUGCCUGUUAUUGGGGGUUAACUUCCGGCAACGGGCCCUAUUACCGCUUACUAUCAGAUUAGCCUAGGGCGGAUUAGCUAGUUGGGGGGGUAAAGGCCUACCAGGGCGACGAUCCGUAACGGGGCUGAGAGGAUGAUCAGUAACACGGGAACUGAGACACGGUCCAGACUCCGACGGGAGGCAGCAGUGGGGAAGAUGGGACAAUGGGCGAAAGCCUGAUCCAGCCAGGCCGCGUGGGUGAAGAAGGUCUUCGGAGUGUAAAGCACUUUAAGUUGGGAGGCGUUACCAACAGAAUAAGCAACGGCUAACUUCGUGCCAGCAGCCGCGGUAAUAC
rnacentral:rRNA from 1 species